GAUGAACGCUGACAGAAUGCUUAACACAUGCAAGUCGAUUCGAUUUACCUUCGGGUAUUGAGGAUGGCGGACGGGUGAGUAACGCGUAAGGAACUUGCCUCUUGGUCUGGGACAACUGUUGGAAACGACAGCUAAUACCGGAUAUUAUGAGAUUCUCGCAUGGGAAACUUAUGAAAGCUAUAUGCGCCAAGAGAGAGCCUUGCGUUCCAUUAGCUAGUUGGUGGGGUAAUGGCCCACCAAGGCGACGAUGGAUAGCCGGCCUGAGAGGGUGAACGGCCACAA
rnacentral:rRNA from 1 species